UACGGGGGGGGCAAGCGUUGUUCGGAAUUACUGGGCGUAAAGGGCUCGUAGGCGGCCAACUAAGUCAGACGUGAAAUCCCUCGGCUUAACCGGGGAACUGCGUCCGAUACUGGAUGGCUAGAGUUCGGGAGAGGGAUGCGGAAUUCCAGGUGUAGCGGUGAAAUGCGUAGAUAUCUGGAGGAACACCGGUGGCGAAGGCGGCAUCCUGGACCGACACUGACGCUGAGGAGCGAAAGCCAGGGGAGCAAACGGGG
rnacentral:rRNA from 1 species